AUACUCUGGUUUCUCUUCAGAUCAUAUAAAUCUUUCGCCUUUUACUAAAGAUUUCCAUGGAGAGGAACAGCUCUGAGUCUUAAGAUACCAUCUCAUGCCAGUAGAAUGGCGA
ensembl:snRNA U5 U5 spliceosomal RNA